rnacentral:rRNA from 1 species
GACGAACGCUGGCGGCGUGCUUAACACAUGCAAGUCGAACGGAAAGGCCCUUCGGGGUGCUCGAGUGGCGAACGGGUGAGUAACACGUGGGUGAUCUGCCCUGCACUUUGGGAUAAGCCUGGGAAACUGGGUCUAAUACCGAAUAUACCUCGCUGGUUGCAUGACCUGGUGGGGGAAAGCUUUUGCGGUGUGGGAUGGGCCCGCGGCCUAUCAGCUUGUUGGUGGGGUGAUGGCCUACCAAGGCGACGACGGGUAGCCGGCCUGAGAGGGUGUCCGGCCACACUGGGACUGAGAUACGGCCCAGACUCCUACGGGAGGCAGCAGUGGGGAAUAUUGCACAAUGGGCGCAAGCCUGAUGCAGCGACGCCGCGUGGGGGAUGACGGCCUUCGGGUUGUAAACCUCUUUCAGCGCAGACGAAGCGCAAGUGACGGUAUGUGCAGAAGAAGCACCGGCCAACUACGUGCCAGCAGCCGCGGUAAUACGUAGGGUGCGAGCGUUGUCCGGAAUUACUGGGCGUAAAGAGCUCGUAGGUGGUUUGUCGCGUUGUUCGUGAAAACUCACAGCUUAACUGUGGGCGUGCGGGCGAUACGGGCAGACUGGAGUACUGCAGGGGAGACUGGAAUUCCUGGUGUAGCGGUGGAAUGCGCAGAUAUCAGGAGGAACACCGGUGGCGAAGGCGGGUCUCUGGGCAGUAACUGACGCUGAGGAGCGGAAGCGUGGGGAGCGAACAGGAUUAGAUACCCUGGUAGUCCACGCCGUAAACGGUGGGUACUAGGUGUGGGUUUCCUUCCUUGGGAUCCGUGCCGUAGCUAACGCAUUAAGUACCCCGCCUGGGGAGUACGGCCGCAAGGCUAAAACUCAAAGGAAUUGACGGGGGCCCGCACAAGCGGCGGAGCAUGUGGAUUAAUUCGAUGCAACGCGAAGAACCUUACCUGGGUUUGACAUGCACAGGACGUGCCUAGAGAUAGGUAUUCCCUUGUGGCCUGUGUGCAGGUGGUGCAUGGCUGUCGUCAGCUCGUGUCGUGAGAUGUUGGGUUAAGUCCCGCAACGAGCGCAACCCUUGUCUCAUGUUGCCAGCACGUUAUGGUGGGGACUCGUGAGAGACUGCCGGGGUCAACUCGGAGGAAGGUGGGGAUGACGUCAAGUCAUCAUGCCCCUUAUGUCCAGGGCUUCACACAUGCUACAAUGGCCGGUACAAAGGGCUGCGAUGCCGUGAGGCUUAGCGAAUCCUUUAAAGCCGGUCUCAGUUCGGAUCGGGGUCUGCAACUCGACCCCGUGAAGUCGGAGUCGCUAGUAAUCGCAGAUCAGCAACGCUGCGGUGAAUACGUUCCCGGGCCUUGUACACACCGCCCGUCACGUCAUGAAAGUCGGUAACACCCGAAGCCGGUGGCCUAACCCCUUGUGGGAGGGAGCCGUCGAAGGUGGGAUCGGCGAUUGGGACG